GACGAACGCUGGCGGCGUGCUUAACACAUGCAAGUCGAACGGGGUAAGGAGAGCUUGCUUUUCUUACCUAGUGGCGAACGGGUGAGUAACGCGUGAGAAACCUGCCUCUCAGUGGGGACGAACAGUUGGAAACGGCUGCUAAUACCGCAUAAUGUGUCCGGAGGGCAUCCUCUGGAUACCAAAGCUUUAUGUGCUGAGAGAUGGUCUCGCGUCUGAUUAGCUAGAUGGCGGGGUAACGGCCCACCAUGGCGACGAUCAGUAGCCGGUCUGAGAGGAUGAACGGCCACAUUGGGACUGAGAUACGGCCCAG
rnacentral:rRNA from 1 species